rnacentral:rRNA from 1 species
GAUGAACGCUAGCGAUAGGCUUAACACAUGCAAGUCGAGGGGCAGCACAUGAGUGGCAACACGAUGGUGGCGACCGGCGCACGGGUGAGUAACACGUAUGCAACCUGCCCAUAACUGGGGGAUAACCCGUCGAAAGGCGGACUAAUACAGCAUGACAACGAUGAUCCGCAUGGUGAUUCGUUUAAAGAUUUAUCGGUUAUGGAUUGGCAUGCGUUCCAUUAGGUAGUUGGCAGGGUAACGGCCUACCAAGCCUACGAUGGAUAGGGGUUCUGAGAGGAAGGUCCCCCACACUGGUACUGAGACACGGACCAGACUCCUACGGGAGGCAGCAGUGAGGAAUAUUGGUCAAUGGGCGAGAGCCUGAACCAGCCAAAUCGCGUGAAGGAUGAAGGUAUUAUGUAUUGUAAACUUCUUUUGUCGGGGAAUAAAGUGCAGCACGUGUGCUGUUUUGUAUGUACCCGAAGAAUAAGGAUCGGCUAACUCCGUGCCAGCCGCCGCAGUAAAAC